UAGCUACAGGCUUAACACAUGCAAGUCGAGGGGCAGCAUGGUCUUAGCUUGCUAAGGCCGAUGGCGACCGGUGCACGGGUGAGUAACACGUAUCCAACCUGCCGUCUACUCUUGGACAGCCUUCUGAAAGGAAGAUUAAUACAAGAUGGCAUCAUGAGUCCGCAUGUUCACAUGAUUAAAGGUAUUCCGGUAGACGAUGGGGAUGCGUUCCAUUAGAUAGUAGGCGGGGUAACGGCCCACCUAGUCUUCGAUGGAUAGGGGUUCUGAGAGGAAGGUCCCCCACAUUGGAACUGAGACACGGUCCAAACUCCUACGGGAGGCAGCAGUGAGGAAUAUUGGUCAAUGGGCGAGAGCCUGAACCAGUCAAGUAGCGUGAAGGAUGACUGCCCUAUGGGUUGUAAACUUCUUUUAUAAAGGAAUAAAGUCGGGUAUGGAUACCCGUUUGCAUGUACUUUAUGAAUAAGGAUCGGCUAACUCCGUGCCAGCAGCCGCGGUAAUACGGAGGAUCCGAGCGUUAUCCGGAUUUAUUGGGUUUAAAGGGAGCGUAGAUGGAUGUUUAAGUCAGUUGUGAAAGUUUGCGGCUCAACCGUAAAAUUGCAGUUGAUACUGGAUAUCUUGAGUGCAGUUGAGGCAGGCGGAAUUCGUGGUGUAGCGGUGAAAUGCUUAGAUAUCACGAAGAACUCCGAUUGCGAAGGCAGCCUGCUAAGCUGCAACUGACAUUGAGGCUCGAAAGUGUGGGUAUCAAACAGGAUUAGAUACCCUGGUAGUCCACACGGUAAACGAUGAAUACUCGCUGUUUGCGAUAUACUGCAAGCGGCCAAGCGAAAGCGUUAAGUAUUCCACCUGGGGAGUACGCCGGCAACGGUGAAACUCAAAGGAAUUGACGGGGGCCCGCACAAGCGGAGGAACAUGUGGUUUAAUUCGAUGAUACGCGAGGAACCUUACCCGGGCUUAAAUUGCAGAUGAAUUACGGUGAAAGCCGUAAGCCGCAAGGCAUCUGUGAAGGUGCUGCAUGGUUGUCGUCAGCUCGUGCCGUGAGGUGUCGGCUUAAGUGCCAUAACGAGCGCAACCCUUGUUGUCAGUUACUAACAGGUUCCGCUGAGGACUCUGACAAGACUGCCAUCGUAAGAUGUGAGGAAGGUGGGGAUGACGUCAAAUCAGCACGGCCCUUACGUCCGGGGCUACACACGUGUUACAAUGGGGGGUACAGAGGGCCGCUACCACGCGAGUGGAUGCCAAUCCCCAAAACCUCUCUCAGUUCGGACUGGAGUCUGCAACCCGACUCCACGAAGCUGGAUUCGCUAGUAAUCGCGCAUCAGCCACGGCGCGGUGAAUACGUUCCCGGGCCUUGUACACACCGCCCGUCAAGCCAUGGGAGCCGGGGGUACCUGAAGUGCGUAACCGCGAGGAGCGCCCUAGGGUAAAACUGGUGACUGGGGCUAAGUA
rnacentral:rRNA from 1 species